rnacentral:rRNA from 1 species
UAUUGGUCAAUGGGCGAGAGCCUGAACCAGCCAAGUCGCGUGAGGGACGACUGCCCUAUGGGUUGUAAACCUCUUUUGUAUGGGGGGAAUAAGCUUAACGAGUAGCGUGAUGACAGUACCAUACGAAUACGCAUCGGCUAACACCGUGCCAGCAGCCGCGGGAAUACGGAGGAUGCGAGCGUUACCCGGAUUUAUUGGGUUUAAAGGGUGCGUAGGCGGCAUUAUAAGUUAGUGGUAAAAUAUUGGGGCUUCACCUCACUACGCCAUUAAUACUGUAGAGCUAGAGAACAGACGAGGUAGGCGGAAUAAGUUAAGUAGCUGUGAAAUGCAUAGAUAUAACUUAGAACACCGAUAGCGAAGGCAGCUUACCAGACUGAGUCUGACGCUGAUGCACGAGAGCAUGGGUAGCGAACAGG